UACGUAGGGUGCGAGCGUUGUCCGGAAUUAUUGGGCGUAAAGAGCUCGUAGGCGGCUUGUCGCGUCGGAUGUGAAAGCCCGGGGCUUAACUCCGGGUCUGCAUUCGAUACGGGCAGGCUAGAGUUCGGUAGGGGAGAUCGGAAUUCCUGGAUGUAGCGGUGAAAUGACGCAGAUAUCAGGAGGAACACCGGUGGCGAAGGCGGCUCUCUGGGACGGUACUGACGCUGAGACGCGAAAGCGUGGGAGCGAACAGG
rnacentral:rRNA from 1 species